rnacentral:tRNA from 1 species
GCCAGCCGUGGCCUAUUGGUUAGCGUUUCGGACUUGUAACCGGAGGGUUGCCGGUUCGAACCCCGAUCAGUAGGCA